GGCGCACGGGUGAGUAACACGUAUCCAACCUGCCCUUUACUCGGGGAUAGCCUUUCGAAAGAAAGAUUAAUACCCGAUGGCAUAAUGAUUCCGCAUGGUUUCAUUAUUAAAGGAUUCCGGUAAAGGAUGGGGAUGCGUUCCAUUAGGUUGUUGGUGGGGUAACGGCCCACCAAGCCUUCGAUGGAUAGGGGUUCUGAGAGGAAGGUCCCCCACAUUGGAACUGAGACACGGUCCAAACUCCUACGGGAGGCAGCAGUGAGGAAUAUUGGUCAAUGGGCGCUAGCCUGAACCAGCCAAGUAGCGUGAAGGAUGAAGGCUCUAUGGGUCGUAAACUUCUUUUAUAUAAGAAUAAAGUGCAGUAUGUAUACUGUUUUGUAUGUAUUAUAUGAAUAAGGAUCGGCUAACUCCGUGCCAGCAGCCGCGGUAAUACGGAGGAUCCGAGCGUUAUCCGGAUUUAUUGGGUUUAAAGGGAGCGUAGGUGGACUGGUAAGUCAGUUGUGAAAGUUUGCGGCUCAACCGUAAAAUUGCAGUUGAUACUGUCAGUCUUGAGUACAGUAGAGGUGGGCGGAAUUCGUGGUGUAGCGGUGAAAUGCUUAGAUAUCACGAAGAACUCCGAUUGCGAAGGCAGCUCACUGGACUGCAACUGACACUGCUGCUCGAAAGUGUGGGUAUCAAACAGGAUUAGAUACCCUGGUAGUCCACACAGUAAACGAUGAAUACUCGCUGUUUGCGAUAUACAGUAAGCGGCCAAGCGAAAGCAUUAAGUAUUUCACCUGGGG
rnacentral:rRNA from 1 species